rnacentral:rRNA from 1 species
GAUGAACGCUGGCGGCGUGCUUAACACAUGCAAGUCGAACGAAGCAAUCAGACGGAAGUUUUCGGAUGGAAGACUGAUUGACUGAGUGGCGGACGGGUGAGUAACGCGUGGGUAACCUGCCUCAUACAGGGGGAUAACAGUUAGAAAUGACUGCUAAUACCGCAUAAGCGCACAGUAUCGCAUGAUACAGUGUGAAAAACUCCGGUGGUAUGAGAUGGACCCGCGUCUGAUUAGCUAGUUGGUAAGGUAACGGCUUACCAAGGCGACGAUCAGUAGCCGACCUGAGAGGGUGACCGGCCACAUUGGGACUGAGACACGGUCCAAACUCCUACGGGAGGCAGCAGUGGGGAAUAUUGCACAAUGGGCGCAAGCCUGAUGCAGCAACGCCGCGUGAGCGAAGAAGGCCUUUGGGUCGUAAAGCUCUGUCCUUGGGGAAGAAACAAAUGACGGUACCCUUGGAGGAAGCCCCGGCUAACUACGUGCCAGCAGCCGCGGUAAAAC